rnacentral:rRNA from 1 species
GGGGCAGCGGGAUUGAAGCUUGCUUCAAUUGCCGGCGACCGGCGCACGGGUGAGUAACGCGUAUCCAACCUUCCGUACACUCAGGGAUAGCCUUUCGAAAGAAAGAUUAAUACCUGAUGGUAUGAUGAGAUUGCAUGAUAGCAUCAUUAAAGAUUUAUCGGUGUACGAUGGGGAUGCGUUCCAUUAGGUAGUAGGUGGGGUAACGGCCCACCUAGCCAACGAUGGAUAGGGGUUCUGAGAGGAAGGUCCCCCACAUUGGAACUGAGACACGGUCCAAACUCCUACGGGAGGCAGCAGUGAGGAAUAUUGGUCAAUGGACGAGAGUCUGAACCAGCCAAGUAGCGUGAAGGAUGAAGGUCCUACGGAUUGUAAACUUCUUUUAUAAGGGAAUAAACCCUCCCACGUGUGGGAGCUUGUAUGUACCUUAUGAAUAAGCAUCGGCUAACUCCGUGCCAGCAGCCGCGGUAAUACGGAGGAUGCGAGCGUUAUCCGGAUUUAUUGGGUUUAAAGGGAGCGCAGACGGGUCGUUAAGUCAGCUGUGAAAGUUUGGGGCUCAACCUUAAAAUUGCAGUUGAUACUGGCGUCCUUGAGUGCGGUUGAGGUGUGCGGAAUUCGUGGUGUAGCGGUGAAAUGCUUAGAUAUCACGAAGAACUCCGAUUGCGAAGGCAGCACACUAAUCCGUAACUGACGUUCAUGCUCGAAAGUGUGGGUAUCAAACAGGAUUAGAUACCCUGGUAGUCCACACGGUAAACGAUGGAUACUCGCUGUUGGCGAUAUACUGUCAGCGGCUUAGCGAAAGCGUUAAGUAUCCCACCUGGGGAGUACGCCGGCAACGGUGCAACUCAAAUGAAUUGACGG